GACGAACGCUGGCGGCAUGCCUAAUACAUGCAAGUCGAACGAGCUGACGGAGUGCUUGCACUCCCGACGCGAGUGGCGGACGGGUGAGUAACACGUGGGAAACCUACCUGUAAGUAGGGGAUACCAUUCGGAAACGGAUGCUAAUACCCUAUAGGUUUCAGUUCCGCAUGGAACUGAAAGGAAAGACGGCUCUGCUGUCGCUUACAGAUGGUCCCGCGGCGCAUUAGCUAGUUGGUGGGAUAAAAGCUCACAAAGGCUGGGAUGUGUAGCCGACCUGAGAGGGUAACCGGCCACACUGGGACUGAGACACGGCCCAGACUCCUACGGGAGGCAGCAGUAGGGAAUCUUCCGCAAUGGACGAAAGUCUGACGGAGCAAUGCCGCGUGAAUGAAGAAGGUCUUCGGAUCGUAAAAUUCUGUUGUUAGAGAAGAACAAGGAGUAACUAACUACUACUCCCUUGACGGUAUCUAACCAGAAAGCCACGGCUAACUACGUGCCAGCCGCCGCGGUAAGAC
rnacentral:rRNA from 1 species